CUAGAGGUAUCAAGAUGAUCUCCCAGACUCAGCUACUCUGGCUCCUCGUGCUCUGCAUUCAGGACGCCAGUGGGCAGAUUGUGCUGACUCAGACUCCAGAAUCCCUGGAAGUGUUUCCUGGAGACAGAGUCACCAUCAACUGCAAAGCCAGUUCAAGCAUUGGUAGUGCCAUAGCCUGGUACCAACAGAAAACAGGACAAGCUCCUAAGCUCCUUAUCCACAGCGCUUCCACCCGUCCCUCUGGGAUCCCAGACCGGUUCAGUGGCAGUGGGUCUGGCACUGACUACACAUUCACCAUCAGCAGGGUUGAAGUGGAUGAUGCUGGAGAUUAUUACUGUCAGCAUUAUUACGGCACCCCUCUCACACAGUGA